AGUGAACGCUGGCGGUAGGCCUAACACAUGCAAGUCGAACGGCAGCACAGUAAGAGCUUGCUCUUACGGGUGGCGAGUGGCGGACGGGUGAGGAAUACAUCGUAAUCUACUUUUUCGUGGGGGAUAACGUAGGGAAACUUACGCUAAUACCGCAUACGACCUACGGGUGAAAGCAGGGGAUCUUCGGACCUUGCGCGAUUGAAUGAGCCGAUGUCGGAUUAGCUAGUUGGCGGGGUAAAGGCCCACCAAGGCGACGACCCGUAGCUGGUCUGAGAGGAUGAUCAGCCACACUGGAACUGAGACACGGUCCAGACUCCUACGGGAGGCAGCAGUGGGGAAUAUUGGACAAUGGGCGCAAGCCUGAUCCAGCCAUACCGCGUGGGUGAAGAAGGCCUUCGGGUUGUAAAGCCCUUUUGUUGGGAAAGAAAAGCAGCAGGUUAAUACCCCGCUGUUCUGACGGUACCCAAAGAAUAAGCACCGGCUAACUUCGUG
rnacentral:rRNA from 1 species